AAGCCGUUAUACGGGCAAUCUUUUUCCAACCUCUUAAACCUUGCCCAGGCAUCACUGAGUGAUUCAUCAAUAUCCUAUUCAAAAUUAGUCAUCAACUUCCUCUUUCU